UACGUAGGGUGCAAGCGUUAAUCGGAAUUACUGGGCGUAAAGCGUGCGCAGGCGGUUCGCUAAGACAGAUGUGAAAUCCCCGGGCUUAACCUGGGAACUGCAUUUGUGACUGGCGGGCUAGAGUAUGGCAGAGGGGGGGUAGAAUUCCACGUGUAGCAGUGAAAUGCGUAGAGAUGUGGAGGAACACCGAUGGCGAAGGCAGCCCCCCUGGGCCAAUACUGACGCUCAUGCACGAAAGCGUGGGGAGCAAACAGG
rnacentral:rRNA from 1 species